GUACUGCUUUUAUCUCCACCCUGAAAAGCGCUGAACAGAUAAACAUUUCGGAAAGAAGCAGGAAGAAGAGGUGAGUCUAUCUACAGACAAAUGGGAAGAAACGACAUCAAGCAUUAGGAAAGCCGCAAAGCAUAUGCCUCGUACAAGGAUCAAUCAAGACAUUUUAAAAGACAUGGCAGCCGUGAACACUGGAAAAACUUUG
rnacentral:lncRNA from 1 species